AUUUUUUUGUUUUUUGCUUAAACAAUUAACAAAAAACAAAACUGAUAGACAGCAACCAACUACCAUCAUUUUGUUUUGAUUUCAACUUCAAAAAAAAUGAUGAUGCUCUAUGCAGGGAUUCAGAUAAAAAUAAUAAGUUACUUGUUGAUAAAAAAAUUGUUGUUUCAUAAAAUAACUUUGUAUGUUUUACCAUAUUGCUAACAUAUUAGGAUUCUCACACAAGUUAUUUUGACCAUAUUGUUAACAUAUUAGGAUUCUCACACAAGUUAUUUUGACCAUAUUGUUAACAUAUUAGGAUUCUUACACAAGUUAUUUUUACCAUAUUGUUAACAUAUUAGGAUUCUCACACAAGUUAUUUUGACCAUAUUGUUAACAUAUUAGGAUUCUCACACAAGUGUUAUUUACCAUAUUGUUCACAUAUUAGGAUUCUCACACAAGUUAUUUUGACCAUAUUGUUAACAUAUUAGGAUUCUCACACAAGUUAUUUUUACCAUAUUGUUAACAUAUUUGGAUUUUGACCAUAUUGAGUGCAUUCUAUAAUUCCUGUUAUGUUAUGUAUUAUAAC
rnacentral:lncRNA from 1 species